ACAACUUUCGACAACGGAUCUCUUGGUUCUCCCAUCGAUCACGAACGCAGCGAAACGCGAUAGGUACUGUGCAUUGCCGAAUUCCGUGCCUCAUCGAAUCUUUGAACGCACCUUGCGCUCCAUGGUAUUGGGUGCAGCAUGCCUGUUUGAGUGCCGCG
rnacentral:rRNA from 1 species